UCCCUGGUGGCUCAGAUGGUAAAGCAUCUGCCUACAAUGCAGGAGAUCCAGGUUCAAUCCCUGGGUCGGGAA
rnacentral:tRNA from 1 species